AGGGGCGUAGUUCAAUUGGUAGAGCACCGGUCUCCAAAACCGGGUAUUGGGAGUUCGAGUCUCUCCGCCCCUGCCA
rnacentral:tRNA from 2 species